rnacentral:rRNA from 1 species
AUGAGGAAUUUCGUUGAGAAAUUGGUGCUCUCUUUACUAUGGAUAUCGCUGUUCCAAGGGUGCAUGGUCCAGUCCGUGGAAUAUGAUCAUACGGCCAGUAUUGAGUGCCUCCGUGAUCCGAUGAAGCCCCUCUAUAAGGGCGGCAUCAUCCAGAACAGCGAGUUCAACAACGGCCUCAUGGGGUGGUCGACCUACCGGAACAUCAAGGCCGGCGUCGGCAAGUCGGCGUCCGGCAACCGGUUCGCCGUGGUGCAAGGCGCGAUCAGCUCCCUGUUCAGUGCCGCCGGCGAUGCAGCCGCCUUGCAGUCCCACAGCGUCUAUCAGAAAGUCCAGAUGCAGGGCGACACCCACUACUCGCUCUCAGCAUGGUUGCAAGUGUCGGCCGGGACGGCCCAUGUGAGGGCGGUGGUCAAGGCCCCCAACGGCGAGAACAUCACCGCCGGCGGUAUCGAUGCCCAGUCCGGCUGCUGGACCAUGCUCAAGGGCGGUAUGACCGCGCAUGCCUAUCACUCCGGACAAGGAGAGGUCUUCUUCGAGAGCGACACCCCCGUGGACAUCUGGGUGGACAGCGUCUCCCUGCAACCCUUCUCCUUUGAUGAAUGGGACGCCCACGCCCGCCGGUCCGCCCACAAGGUCCGUCGGAGCACGGUUAAGGUUGUUGUGAGGGGCCCCGACGGGCAGCCAAUGCCGAACACGAGCGUCAGCAUCCAGCUCCUCCGCACAGGGUUCCCGUUCGGCAACACGAUGACCAAGGAGAUCAUCAGCAACCCGGCCUACGAGAAGUGGUUCUUCUCGCGCUUCACGGUGGCCACCAUGGAGAACGAGAUGAAGUGGUACAGCACGGAGUGGAACCAGAACCAAGAGGACUACAAAAUCCCGGACGACAUGCUCAAGAUGGCUCAGAAGUACGGCGUCAAGGUGCGCGGGCACAACGUGUUCUGGGACGACCAGAACUCGCAGAUCAAGUGGGUGCGGCCGAUGGGCGUCGACCAGCUCAAGGCGGCGAUGCAGAAGCGGCUCAAGUCGGUGGUGUCGCGGUACGCCGGGAAGGUGAUCCACUGGGACGUGCUCAACGAGAACCUGCACUUCAACUUCUUCGAGACCAAGCUGGGCCCCAACGCGUCGCCCAUGAUCUACCAGCAGGUGGGCCAGAUCGACCACAACGCCGUCCUCUUCAUGAACGAGUUCAACACGCUGGAGCAGCCCAUGGACCCCAAUGGCACCCCCGCCAAGUACGUCGCCAAGAUCAAGCUCAUCCAGGGCUACCCCGGCAACGGCGGCCUCAAGCUCGGUGUCGGCCUCGAGAGCCACUUCUCCACUCCCAACAUCCCAUACGUCAGGGGAGCCCUCGACACGCUCGCGCAGCUCAAGCUGCCCAUGUGGAUGACCGAGGUCGACGUCGUCAAGGGCCCCAACCAGGUCAAGUACCUGGAGCAGGUGCUCAGGGAAGGCUACGGCCACCCCGGGGUGCAGGGCAUCGUCAUGUGGGCCGCAUGGCACGCCAACGGAUGCUACGUCAUGUGCCUCACCGACAACACCUUCAAGAACCUCCCCGUCGGUGCCCUCGUAGACAAGCUCAUCGCCGAGUGGAAGACGCACCCGACGUCUGCCACCACCGACGCCAAUGGGUUCGUCGAGCUCGACCUCGCCCAUGGCGACUACAAGUUGACGGUGAACCACCCUUCUUCGCUAGCCACGUCCCACACCAUCACGGUGGAUGCAGCGUCAUCCGAGCAUACCAUCAGUUUGAAGGUGUAG